GUGUUCACUUUGGCCGCACAUACACUAAAAUUGGAAUGAUACAGAGAUUAGCAUGACCUUUGCACAAGAAUGACAUAUAAGCUAAUGUAACAGCCUCAGUGCCU